UACGGGGGGAGCAAGCGUUGUUCGGAUUUACUGGGCGUAAAGGGCGCGUAGGCGGCCACCGCAAGUCGACUGUGAAAUCUCCGGGCUUAACCCUGGAACUGCAUCCGAAACUACCUAGCUAGAGUCCUGGAGAGGAAGGCAGAAUUCCCGGUGUAGGGGUGAAAUCCGUAGAUACCGGGAGGAAUACCAGUAGCGAAGGCGGCCUUCUGGACAGUGACUGACGCUCAGACGCGAAAGCGUGGGGAGCAAACAGG
rnacentral:rRNA from 1 species